rnacentral:rRNA from 1 species
UGCCAGCAGCCGCGGUAAUACGGAGGGGGCUAGCGUUGUUCGGAAUCACUGGGUUUAAAGGGUGCGUAGGCGGCCUAGUAAGUCAGAGGUGAAAGUUUGCAGCUUAACUGUAAAAUUGCCUUUGAUACUGUUAGGCUUGAAUUAGGCUGAGGUCAGCGGAAUGAGUCAUGUAGCGGUGAAAUGCAUAGAUAUGACUUAGAACACCAAUUGCGAAGGCAGCUGGCUAGACCUACUUUGACGCUGAGGCACGAAAGCGUGGGGAGCGAACAGGAUUAGAUA